rfam:Nectria haematococca mpVI 77-13-4 chromosome 9 genomic scaffold NECHAsca_6_chr9_2_0, whole genome shotgun sequence.
GCGAUAAUGGUGUAGUGGUAACAUUCUGGCUUCCCAUGCCUGAGCGCAGGGUUCGAUUCCCUGUUAUCGCA